AUGUAUAAGUAUAAGAUUUGAAUCGUGAAACCGCGAACGGCUCAUUAUAACAGCUAUGAUCUACUUGAUCUUGACACUCCUACUUGGAUAACUGUGGUAAUUCUAGAGCUAAUACAUGCAGAAAAACUCGGCGUCUCCUCACGGGGACAAUGAGCGCAUUUAUUGGAUUAAAACUAAUUUGUGGUGCGCAAGCAUCGCAAUUCGUUGACUCAGAAUAACUAAGCUGAUCGCAUGGCCUCGUGCCGGCGACGUGUCUUUCGAGUAUCUGCCUUAUCAACUUUCGAUGGUAGUGUAUUUGACUACCAUGGUGGUGACGGGUAACGGAGGAUAAGGGUUCGACUCCGGAGAAGGGGCCUGAGAAAUGGCCACUACGUCUAAGGAUGGCAGCAGGCGCGCAAAUUACCCACUCUCGGUACGCUGAGGAGGUAGUGAUGAAAAAUAACGAAGGUGUCCCCUCACGGGGUCAUCGAUCGGAAUGGGUACAAUCUAAAACCUUUAACGAUUAACAAUGAGAGGGCAAGUCUGGUGCCAGCAGCCGCGGUAAUUCCAGCUCUCAAAAUGCAUAGAUACAUUGCUGCGGUUAAAAAGCUCGUAGUUGGAUCUGUGUCCGGGAUGCGGGGUCCACUCUUCGGAGUGCGUACUCUUGCCAUCUCGGCUUCAAUGUCGGCUUCGCGUGUCGUAGUCUUAAGUGAUUGCGUGCACGUGGGCUGGCGAGUACUUUGAACAAAUGAGUGCUCCAAACAGGCGUUUACGCUUGAAUGUUCGUGCAUGGAAUAAUAGAAGAGGAUUUCGGUUCUUGUUUUGUUGGUUUUAAUGGAUCGAGAUAAUGGUUAACAGAGACAAACGGGGGCAUUCGUACUUCUGCGUGAGAGGUGAAAUUCUUGGACCGCAGAAAGACGCACUACAGCGAARGCAUUUGCCAAGAAUGUCUUCAUUAAUCAAGAACGAAAGCCAGAGGAUCGAAGGCGAUCAGAUACCGCCCUAGUUCUGGCCGUAAACGAUGCCAACUAGCGAUCUGUCGGUGGUGUUUUUUCGCCCUGAUAGGGAGCUUCCCGGAAACGAAAGUCUUCCGGUUCCGGGGGAAGUAUGGUUGCAAAGCUGAAACUUAAAGGAAUUGACGGAAGGGCACCACCAGGAGUGGAGCCUGCGGCUUAAUUUGACUCAACACGGGAAACCUCACCCGGGCCGGACACCGUAAGGAUUGACAAAUUGAUAGCUUUUUCAUGAUUCGGUGGAUGGUGGUGCAUGGCCGUUCUUAGUUCGUGGAGCGAUUUGUCUGGUUUAUUCCGAUAACGAGCGAGACUCUAGCCUACUAAAUAGUUGACACAUUCCAUUGUGUGUCCCCAACUUCUUAGAGGGAUUUGCGUGCGUAUAGCCGCAAGAGAAUGAGCAAUAACAGGUCUGUGAUGCCCUUAGAUGUCCGGGGCUGCACGCGCGCUACACUGGUAGAAUCAACGAGUUUGCGCGCUUCGGCGUGUUCCUCCAUCGAAAGAUCGGGGGUAAACCAUUGAAAAUCUGCCGUGAUUGGGAUCGGGAAUUGAAAUUAUUUUCCGUGAACGAGGAAUUCCAAGUAAGUGCGGGUCAUUAACUCGCGUUGAUUACGUCCCUGCCCUUUGUACACACCGCCCGUCGCUACCCGGGACUGAGUUAUUUCGAGAAAUUUGAGGAUUGGUGUUGUCGGGAGCUGCUUUCGAGUGGUGCCCACCUCGCCGAGAAACAACUUAAUCGAAGUGGCUUGAACCGGGU
rnacentral:rRNA from 1 species